rnacentral:rRNA from 1 species
UACGUAGGGGGCUAGCGUUGUCCGGAAUCAUUGGGCGGAAAGCGCGUGUAGGCGGCCCGGUAAGUCCGCUGUGAAAGUCGGGGGCUCAACCCUCGGAUGCCGGUGGAUACUGUCGGGCUGGAGUGCGGAAGAGGCGAGUGGAAUUCCUGGUGUAGCGGUGAAAUGCGCAGAUAUCAGGAGGAACACCAAUUGCGAAGGCAGCUCGCUGGGACGUUACCGACGCUGAGACGCGAAAGCGUGGGGAGCAAACAGG